GAAGGAUGCAAGCGUUAUCCGGAUUCAUUGGGUUUAAAGGGAGCGUAGGUGGCCUUAUAAGUCAGUGGUGAAAUCUCUGGGCUUAACUCAGAAAUUGCCAUUGAUACUGUAGGGCUUGAGUAUAGAUGCCGUUGGCGGAAUAUGACAUGUAGUGGUGAAAUACAUAGAGAUGUCAUAGAACACCGAUUGCGAAGGCAGCUGACGAAACUAUAACUGACACUGAGGCUCGAAAGUGCGGGGAUCAAACAGGAUUAGAUACCCUGGUAGUCCGCACUGUAAACGAUGAUUACUCGCUGCUGGGAGGUAACUUUCAGUGGCUUAGCGAAAGCGAUAAGUAAUCCACCUGGGGAGUACGCCGGCAACGGUGAA
rnacentral:rRNA from 1 species